GCCCCAGUAGCUCAGUUGGUAGAGCGGCUGAGCUGAGAGCAGUAGGUCGAGGGUUCGAAAGAUUUGCCGAAAAUCCCUCCUGGGGCU
rnacentral:tRNA from 1 species